rnacentral:lncRNA from 1 species
CAACAAGUCAAUUAGAUUCCUGUUUAUGUCAUUGGAGAGCAUAAAGGUUCUAAUCAUGCAAGAGGCUGAACGGAUUUAGACAGUAAAACCACUAAUAAUUUGAAAUCAAUUAUUGCGCAGAAAAACAAAAAUAACUUUGAAGAUUUCAUAAUUUUCCAAUGAAAUUUCCGGUGAAAUGCUGGGUUUUCUUAACAAGAUGAGAGACCGGCAAGAACAAAUUUGACACUACUGUCAUGAAAUAGCAUGCAAACUGUUCCACUUGAUGAUCUUCAAACCAUUCCAAAAUCAUCACUACUCCAGGCAGCACUUCUGAUUACUACUUUAUUACCUGGUUACAAACAAGAAGGAUCCCAGGCUCGUAAUAAGUUCCUUAUCACUUUUCUUUUUUACCCUUCCAAAGAGAGAAUUAUAUUAAGGGAUAAUGUAGUUAACCACCUAUCCCACUGAGCUUCACCAAGUACAAGCAGAGAAUCGUUGUCUCGGAGACAUGUAAGUCCAAAGAACAAAGAAAAGGAGCAUCCCAUUGUCCCGAAGGUAAAUCUACAUGAACACCGUAGUCCAAGCUUUUGGAAUCACAUGCUAUAGAUUACUAGAGUGAAGCAAAGAAUAUGUACUCAUUAUCUCCAUAAUGUGAUUUUCCAGCUUAAAUAGGAUCAAGCAAGAAAAUAGCAUAUUAAGCCUAGACAUUAAGGACUAAAUAUCCCCAGAAUUGAUGUUCUGAUGGAGAUGUUCUUUGGAUUCAAAUCCUUACAUCUGAGAAGCAAGCUGUCUUCUUUGUAGUCAAAACAGGCUGCAUUAAAAAACAUCAAGAAUCAACUCAU